GCAAUGUGCGAAAGCACGACAAGGUUAAUCCGAGUGAUUUCUGCUAAAGAAAUCUUUUGCAAGUCAUAAAACCACUAGUGAAUAAGGGGUGGGCAAGUUCUGGUGUCAGCCGCCGCGGUAAAACCAGCACCUCAAGUGGUCAGGAGGAUUAUUGGGCCUAAAGCAUCCGUAGCCGGCUCUGUAAGUUUUCGGUUAAAUCCAUGUGCUCAACACAUGGGCUGCCGAAAAUACUGCAUAGCUAGGGAGUGGGAGAGGUAGACGGUACUCGGUAGGAAGGGGUAAAAUCCUUUGAUCUAUCGAUGACCACCUGUGGCGAAGGCGGUCUACCAGAACACGUUCGACGGUGAGGGAUGAAAGCUGGGGGAGCAAACCGGAUUAGAUACCCGGGUAGUCCCAGCUGUAAACGAUGCAGACUCGAUGAUGCAUUGGCAUAUAGCCAGUGCAGUGUCGCAGGGAAGCCGUUAAGUCUGCCGCCUGGGAAGUACGUACGCAAGUAUGAAACUUAAAGGAAUUGGCGGGGGAGCACCACAAGGGGUGAAGCCUGCGGUUCAAUUGGAGUCAACGCCAGAAAUCUUACCCGGAGAGACAGCAGAAUGAAGGUCAAGCUGA
rnacentral:rRNA from 1 species